UACGGAGGGUGCGAGCGUUGUCCGGAAUCACUGGGCGUAAAGAGCUCGUAGGCGGCUUGUCGCGUCGACUGUGAAAUCCCGCGGCUCAACUGCGGGUCUGCAGUCGAUACGGGCAGGCUAGAGUUCGGUAGGGGAGACUGGAAUUCCUGGUGUAGCGGUGAAAUGCGCAGAUAUCAGGAGGAACACCGGUGGCGAAGGCGGUUCUCUGGGCCUUACCUGACGCUGGAGGAGCGAAAGCGUGGGGAGCAAACAGG
rnacentral:rRNA from 1 species